rnacentral:piRNA from 1 species
UGGAUUUGAUGUAAAGUUUUAAAU